GAUGAACGCUGGCGGCGUGCCUAAUACAUGCAAGUCGAGCGAACAGAUAAGGAGCUUGCUCCUUUGACGUUAGCGGCGGACGGGUGAGUAACACGUGGAUAACCUACCUAUAAGACUGGGAUAACUUCGGGAAACCGGAGCUAAUACCGGAUAACAUAUUGAACCGCAGUGUUCAAUAGUGAAAGGCGGCUUUGCUGUCUCUUAUAGAUGGAUCCGCGCCGUAUUAGCUAGUUGGUAAGGUAACGGCUUACCAAGGCAACGAUACGUAGCCGACCUGAGAGGGUGAUCGGCCACACUGGAACUGAGACACGGUCCAGACUCCUACGGGAGGCAGCAGUAGGGAAUCUUCCGCAAUGGGCGAAAGCCUGACGGAGCAACGCCGCGUGAGUGAUGAAGGUCUUCGGAUCGUAAAACUCUGUUAUCAGGGAAGAACAAAUGUGUAAGUAACUGUGCACAUCUUGACGGUACCUGAUCAGAAAGCCACGGCUAACUACGUG
rnacentral:rRNA from 1 species